rnacentral:rRNA from 1 species
GACGAACGCUGGCGGCGUGCCUAACACAUGCAAGUCGAACGGAAAGGCCUGCUUUCCCUUGUGGAUUGCGGGUACUCGAGUGGCGAACGGGUGAGUAACACGUGAGUGAUCUGCCCCCAACUUGGGUAUAAGCCUGGGAAACUGGGUCUAAUUCCCGAUAGGACUGCAGGGUGGUGCCUGUGGUGGAAAACGAUUUUCUAGUGGUUGGGGAUGAGCUCGCGGCCUAUCAGCUUGUUGGUGGGGUAAUGGCCUACCAAGGCGGCGACGGGUAGCCGGCCUGAGAGGGUGGCCGGCCACAUUGGGACUGAGAUACGGCCCAGACUCCUACGGGAGGCAGCAGUGGGGAAUAUUGCACAAUGGGCGGAAGCCUGAUGCAGCGACGCCGCGUGGGGGAUGACGGCCUUCGGGUUGUAAACUCCUUUCGACCGCGAGGAAGCCACCUGGUUGGAAGGGUGGUGACGGUAGUGGUAGAAGAAGCACCGGCUAACUACGUG